GAUGAACGCUGGCGGCGUGCCUAAUACAUGCAAGUCGAGCGAAUGGAUUGAGAGCUUGCUCCGGUGGAUUAGUGGCGAACGGGUGAGUAACACGUGAGUAACCUGCCCUUGACUCUGGGAUAACUGCGGGAAACUGUAGCUAAUACCGGAUACGACCCUCGGCGGCAUCGCCAGGGGGUGGAAAGAAUUUCGGUCAAGGAUGGACUCGCGGCCUAUCAGCUGGUUGGGGAGGUAACGGCUCACCAAGGCGACGACGGGUAGCCGGCCGGAGGGGGUGACCGGCCACAGUGGGACUGAGACACGGCCCAGACUCCUACGGGAGGCAGCAGUGGGGAAUAUUACACAAUGGGCGCAAGCCUGAUGCAGCAACGCCGCGUGAGGGAUGACGGCCUUCGGGUUGUAAACCUCUUUUAGUAGGGAAGAAGCGAAAGUGUCGGUACCUGCAGAAAAAGCACCGGCUAACUACGUGCCAGCAGCCGCAGUAA
rnacentral:rRNA from 1 species